rnacentral:misc_RNA from 1 species
AAGUGCGAUAUCUAGUGCGAUUUGCAUGAAUCUGUGAGUCAUCGAGUUUUUGAACGCAACUUGCGCCCAGUAAUGGGCAUGUCUGUUUGAGUACCGCAUACCAUAAUGCCUAGUGCGAUUUGAUCACUAGCUAGCUAUAGUAGGUUAGGUGGCCUGGCCUCCUUGCUUGCGUGCUGCUGUGUAUCUAAAUGGAUGUUACACUCUUGAUGAGGGUGUCAUGCUAGAGACGUCAAGUCUUUCUUUUGACACCCCCCCAUCACACAAUAUUGGUCUCAAAUCAGGCAAGAUUACCCGCUGAACUUAA